rnacentral:lncRNA from 1 species
GUGAAAUGAUACAGUGGGAGCGGGGCAGUUUAUGCUAAAACAAUCACACAGAAUUCUAGAUGAGAAGGAACAUGAAUAGGCUUGACCAAUUUCGUGAUCACUGAGCACAGUAAAGAUCAAAUUUCCAGGUGGAGGUGGUAGACAGGGGGCGUCAAGGGGAGAAAUGUGGACCUCUGGAAGACGAAGUCAUAAGCAGAGCUCUGCCCGCGGAGGCCAGAGAGCAGCUUCUCUGGCUGCGGAGUUGGAGCCUCGGAGGAAUUCCACGGCAGGGAUAGAUCACAGCAUACGGAACGGGACUGGUUCCAUCCAAAGAGUGAACCACAAUGCUUUUGGAAAGCAGUAUGGAAAAAUGGGAGGAGCCCAGAUUAUGGCUCCAGAUAAACUAGGUUCGGAUUCAGGUCCCAUGGCUCACUGAGUGACUUGGGGAUUUUAAUGCCAACUUUGUAGAUGAGUUGUGGGGGUUAAAUGAGUUAACAGUAACAAGCACCGAGCACAGUGCCUGGUACACAGUAGUUAUUCAGCACGUGUUAGUGCUGUCUCCCACACUGUACCAUGUCCUCUCAUUUCCUGGUGAAGUGACAUUAGGUAGGACUGUUUGGGUGCCUGUGCAGGGCAGAGCCAACUCACGCUUAGGGAGAACUCAUACCGCCUAAAUAUAAAGGCAAUUAUAUAUAUAUAUAUAUAUGUGUGUGUGUGUGUGUGUGUGUGUGUUUAUAUAUAUAUAUUUAUAUAUUUCAAUAUAUAAAGGCAUUUUUUAUAAAUAAAAUACA